rnacentral:misc_RNA from 1 species
ACAAAAAACAUCGGGGCUCGUUGGCAGAGCAACCGAAGGGCAACGAAACAAAACACAGCCGAGGGGGUUGUUUUUGGCAAACAAAACAAAAGUCGGAUCGACCUCGAACGCCGAGCGACCAGGUCGCUAGGCCGAGGGAUCCGGCGAACUCGCUGGGUUUUCUCAGCGCCUUGGGCCGUCGAAGCCUCCUCCUCCGAGGGGCUCCGUCGCCUUAAGUACAGACGAGCUCGACCGCGACCCCGGGCUUCCGGAACGGUGGGUCGCUUCAUUCAAAAAGCACUCGGCAUCGUCGGGAGGUUGGCCUCGACGUUAUAAGCACCCGAGUAUGUACUUUCUCACGUAUACCAACAGAUUUCUUACACAAAACCCGGGGGCGGAGUCGGGAGGCUCUGCUUUUUGUCGGGGGUCGGCCGGCGUACCUCGUUGCGCGCCGCGACCGACCGAAUUGGCAUCUUACUUUUUUGA